GUCGUGGUGUCGCUACAUCCAACAAAGGUGUUUCUCAACCCAACAAAAAAUACGUAAAAAGAUAUGUUUUGGAUGAAAAUUGAUUUAAUGGUUUUGUGAUAUGAAUUUGCUUUUUUAUUUGGUUUUGUCUCUAAAUACGAUUGCAAAAUAUAUCGCGUAAAAUGUCUUACGUAAAACUGAUUAUUUGGUUUUUGGCAGUUUUUGGUUUGCAAUUUCAUCGGGUGUGCGUUGUUGAAUGACAGCGUUUGUCUAAUAGCACACAGACGCUAUAUGUACAUGUGUAUGUACAAAAUGGUGCGAAGUUUGUUUUGGUUUGUUUUAAUUGGUUUUAGUUGGUGUCGGGGAGAGAAACAAUCAAUUUGUAGGCGGCAUUUUUUCUGUAUAAUUUUCCAGCAAAACUUUUCCGAUAACAACGGACUUUAAUUUGUGAGAAGAAAGAAUCGUGUGGCAACUAUGAAGUCGGUGCUAAUGGUAGCGGAGAAGCUGUCGCGGCAAAUAUUUUGAGCAAUGGACGGAACUCGAAUCGAAAAGGACAAUAAUGCGUGCUCAGUGCAUGAAUGGAAAGGGGUAUUUCGCAAUGAGAGUGUUACGUUCAAAAUGACAUCGGUGUGCGGUCAUGUCAUGUCAUUGGAUUUUGUUGGUCAAUACAAUUCAUGGGAUCAUGUUGACCCAGUGGAGCUGUUCACUUGCCCAACGGAAUAGAAAGAAGGCACACCGAAAUUGCGAAUGCGACAAUUUUUGGGCACAGAAGCAAAGGGCUGCCAUUAUUUGGUCCUGUGGCUCGAUUGCGAUAAGGAAGGGGAAAAUAUUUGCUUUGAACUGAUGGACGCAGUGUCACGUUCAGUUCGUAAUGUCUAUUCGAAUGAGGGGACCUAUCGUGCCAAAUUUUCGGCAAUCACGGAAAAUGACAUCAAACAGGCCCGUAGCCAGAAUCUGAUGUGAAGGCUGGCUUGUCCGAUUUUUGAGAUGGCUCAAAAUUUGUUUUAUAAUUUUGAGGGUGGACAGAAUUUGUGACUAAAUUAAAAGGUGUUUUUAUUUUCUUUGUGUGCUUUAUUUCCAUAAAAUUGUCAAAUGUUGUUUAUAACAUCAAAUUCGAAUUAGUAAAUGAUAGGUAUGGUAAUGGCUGAAAACUCUUUGGUUUGCUCAAAAAAUGAGAUGAAAGUUAGAACAAUAUGCGUCGAUUUGCUUUAUUGAAUUUUUGCAUUAUUUCUUCAUCGCACAUAUUGUUGAGUACAUAUUUGUUAUACGCCAAG